GGCUGAGAUUGGCUCAGCUGGUCAGAGCAUGGUGCUGAUAACAGCAAGAUUGUGGGUUUGAUCCCUCUAUGGGCCA